rnacentral:rRNA from 1 species
GAUGAACGCUGGCGGCGUGCCUAAUACAUGCAAGUCGAGCGAACAGACGAGGAGCUUGCUCCUCUGACGUUAGCGGCGGACGGGUGAGUAACACGUGGAUAACCUACCUAUAAGACUGGGAUAACUUCGGGAAACCGGAGCUAAUACCGGAUAAUAUAUUGAACCGCAUGGUUCAAUAGUGAAAGACGGUUUUGCUGUCACUUAUAGAUGGAUCCGCGCCGCAUUAGCUAGUUGGUAAGGUAACGGCUUACCAAGGCAACGAUGCGUAGCCGACCUGAGAGGGGGAUGGCCACCACGGAAGCUGGACCCGGUCCCAGAACCUGAGGGGGGGCAGAGGGGGGUAAUCUCCGGAAAGGGGGGAAAGCUGGCCGGAGGACCGCAGGGGUGGUGAGGAGGGGCUGCGGUUGGAAAACCGGUUUUAUGGGGGAAAAACAAAUUUGGAAGGAAAGAUGCCCGUUUGACGGUACCUAAAGAAGAAGCCCCGGCUAACUACGUG